GACGAACGCUGGCGGCGUGCUUAACACAUGCAAGUCGAACGAUGAAGAAGAGAAACGCGCACUUCGGUUCAAAUUUCACUUCGGAUUAGUGGCAGACGGGUGAGUAACGCGUGAGCAACCUACCUCUUACAAAGGGAUAGCCUCGGGAAACCGUGAUUAAUACCAUAUGACACAUUCAUAAGGCAUCUUAAGAAUGUUAAAGCUACGGCGGUAAGAGAUGGGCUCGCGUCCCAUUAGCUAGUUGGUGAGGUAACGGCCCACCAAGGCGACGAUGGGUAACCGGCCUGAGAGGGUGAACGGUCACAGUGGAACUGAGACACCGUCCAAACUCCUACGGGAGGCAGCAGUGGUGAAUAUUGCACAAUGGAGGGAACUCUGAUGCAGCGACGCCGCGUGAGCGAUGAAGGAAUUCGUUUCGUAAAGCUCUGUUCUAUGGGAAGAAAAGGACUGUACCAUAGGAGAAAGCCCCGGCUAAAUACGUG
rnacentral:rRNA from 1 species